UUUCUUCCCUAUCAACUUUCGAUGUUUGGGUAUUGGCCAAACAUGGUUGCAACGGGUAACGGAGGGUUAGGGCUCGACCCCGGAGAAGGAGCCUGAGAAACGGCUACUACAUCCAAGGAAGGCAGCAGGCGCGCAAAUUACCCAAUCCCGACACGGGGAGGUAGUGACAAUAAAUACUGAUACAGGGCUCUUUUGGGUCUUGUAAUUGGAAUGAGUACAAUUUAAAUCCCUUAACGAGGAACAAUUGGAGGGCAAGUCUGGUGCCAGCAGCCGCGGUAAUUCCAGCUCCAAUAGCGUAUAUUAAAGUUGUUGUGGUUAAAAAGCUCGUAGUUGAACCUUGGGCCUGGCUGGCCGGUCCGCCUCACCGCGUGUACUGGUCCGGCCGGGCCUUUCCCUCUGUGGAACCCCAUGCCCUUCACUGGGUGUGGCGGGGAAACAGGACUUUUACUUUGAAAAAAUUAGAGUGCUCCAGGCAGGCCUAUGCUCGAAUACAUUAGCAUGGAAUAAUGAAAUAGGACGUGUGGUUCUAUUUUGUUGGUUUCUAGGACCGCCGUAAUGAUUAAUAGGGACAGUCGGGGGCAUCAGUAUUCAAUUGUCAGAGGUGAAAUUCUUGGAUUUAUUGAAGACUAACUACUGCGAAAGCAUUUGCCAAGGAUGUUUUCAUUAAUCAGGAACGAAAGUUAGGGGAUCGAAGACGAUCAGAUACCGUCGUAGUCUUAACCAUAAACUAUGCCGACUAGGGAUCGGACGAUGUUAUUUUUUGACGCGUUCGGCACCUUACGAGAAAUCAAAGUGCUUGGGCUCCAGGGGGAGUAUGGUCGCAAGGCUGAAACUUAAA
rnacentral:rRNA from 1 species